rnacentral:rRNA from 1 species
ACUCCUACGGGAGGCAGCAGUGGGGAAUAUUGCACAAUGGGCGCAAGCCUGAUGCAGCCAUGCCGCGUGUGUGAAGAAGGCCUUCGGGUUGUAAAGCACUUUCAGUCGUGAGGAAGGUAGUGUAGUUAAUAGCUGCAUUAUUUGUACGUUAGCGACAGAAGAAGCACCGGCUAACUCCGUGCCAGCAGCCGCGGUAAUACGGAGGGUGCGAGCGUUAAUCGGAAUUACUGGGCGUAAAGCGCAUGCAGGUUGGUUUGUUAAGUCAGAUGUGAAAGCCCGGGGCUCAACCUCGGAAUAGCAUUUGAAACUGGCAGACUAGAGUACUGUAGAGGGGGUAGAAUUUCAGGUGUAGCGGUGAAAUGCGUAGAGAUCUGAAGGAAUACCGGUGGCGAAGGCGGCCCCUGGACAGAUACUGACACUCAGAUGCGAAAGCGUGGGAGC